rnacentral:lncRNA from 1 species
UUGCAAAGCUACUUCAAGGAUCCUAAAGAAGUCGGAGAUCGUCUACACUAUCAACUACAACUGCUCUGUAUUUUAUAUCGAAACACGUUUGAGUUAUGGCAUGUAUAGGGAUUUAGUUAUUUUGUAUGUUUGUAAUGAUGAUUUUGCUAAUGAGUGAUGUGUAAGUAUUUGAUGAUGUAUGGUUAUUAAAAUGAUUAAGGAUGAAGGUGUUUGUUGUUAUGAAAGAUUAGGUGAUAAAUUAUGCAUGGAAAUCAUGAAAGGAUAAAAUUUUGCAAAGAAACAGAAUUCAGGCAGCACAGUGACGUGAAUUUGAAAAAUCACCCAAGAUAGUAUAAAAUGAAUUAGAGGGUGAAUGAUAUAUGGAAUUAAAUCUUGUUGAGUCUAUUUUCAUGGAAAAAUAACGGUGUAGAAAAAGGAAAUUUAUAUUUUAAGAUAUGUGAAUUUUAGUAAGAUAGGGUCAGAACUGUUUUUGGAGUCCCCUGUUCUGAGUUUAGAAAAUAAUUACAAAUUUUACAAAAAUGGUUAUGAGUUGAAAUUUACAUGCUUAUAUUUCUUAAUGAGUCUAUUUUCUGUAUAAACAAGUAAUAACUUCAUAUGAAAAUCCUACAGUGAGAAAACUUAUUUUUAGUGACUAGAGGUCAGGGCAGUCAGGUGGUGAAACAGGGGAGACUUUAACUAAUAAACUGUACUAAUUUGCUGAACCAAAAAUUCUAAAAAUUUUAUGGUGAGUAGAUAUAUGAGUCUAGUUUCAGGGAAAAUUUACGGAACUAAAUUUCGAGUUCUGUAGCUCAAGUUAUAAUUAAUUUAGUAACUGCUGCGCGAUUGGACAGAUUUGCUGCGAAUAAUGAAAUAAAUUUUCAAACCUAGUUUUUAUGCUCCGAAUUGGUAAGAUAAGCUAAGUAAUGCCUCGUGCUCGACUCCGGAAAUGGUCUCGGGUAAGGGGUGUUACAUUUUAUUGGUAUCAGAGCAGGUUUAGUCGAUUCUCGGAAAUACUCAGUAAGAAUAAGAGUCUACCUAUACAUGCCAUACUUAUAUAUUUUGAUAGUGUGACGACUCCUGACGAUUUUAAAAUGUUUUCUUUAAUAGUUAUGGAUCCUGAACGAGCUAGUACAGAUGAAGUAGAGAGUAAUGCGCCUAUUCCCACAGAAGGGACGGUGCCAUCAGAUGUUAAUGUUAGUGAAAGACCUGCAUCAGAUAGACAGGGAGGAGGAGCUACAGAAGCCUUCUUCCAAGCCAUGACUGAUUGGUUUGCCGAGUUCGUUCGUACGAAUCCGGCUGUAAGACCUCCACCCCCUCAAGAUUCACAGGUUCCCCAUGUAGCUUCCCCAGCUGCAGGUAUAUUUAUCAGGGAGAGACCACCUGUUGAUAAGAUUAGGAAGCAAGGGGCUGAAGAAUUUCGGGCUACCAAAGAUGACGAUGCAGAAAAAGUAGAAUUCUGGCUUGAGAAUACCAUCAGGGUUUUUGAAGAAUUAUCUUGUACACCGGAAGAAUGUAUGAAGUGUGUGGUCUCACUUCUCAGAGAUUCCGCUUAUCAUUGGUGGAAGACUCUCGUGUCUAUCGUACCGAGUGAGAGGGUUACUUGGGAUUUCUUUCAGGAGGAGUUUCGAAAGAAGUACAUCAGCCAGAGAUUUACAGAGCAGAAAAGGAAGGAGUUUCUUGAGCUAAAACAAGGUAAGAUGUCCGUGACUGAAUAUGAACGCGAAUUUAUCAGACUUAGUAAGUAUGCUCGGGAAUUUGUAUCCACCGAAGCCAACAUGUGCAAGAGAUUUGAAGAUGGGCUUAAUGAUGACAUCUGACUAUCAGUGGGUGUAUUGGAAAUUAGAGAGUUUGUUGUUCUGGUAGAAAGAGCUUGUAAAGUAGAAGACUUGUUAAAAGAAAAGAGAAGAGCAAAGCUGAAGCUGGAGCUGGAGCUGGAGCGCAGGAUACAAAGAAGAGGCAAAUGAGUAAAUCAUUUCAGUCUACAUCUAAGAGGCCUAGGGAGCUCUCUAGCGGAUCACAUUUUCCACAUAUAUAUUCUGGCCGAAGCAGAAGUAGAAGAUUCGAGGGUUUUAGAGCUCAAACCACUACAGUUGCAAGUACUGGCAGUACUCGACCUCCUAGACCGGAAUGUCCUCAAUGUGGGAGACGCCACCCCGGAGAGUGUAGAGCAGGUGAAAAUGUUUGUUUCAGAUGUGGAGCAUCCGAUCACUUUAUUCGGGAUUGUCCUGAAACAACUAAAAGAGAAGAAAUAACGAGUGCGAGAUCAGGUAAUGCUCCUACCAGAGGUAGACCGCAGAGAAACCCAAGAGUGGGGGCAAGUAAUAGGGGUGCAUUCAAAGAUUCAGCGGUUAGAUCAGAUGUUAGAGCACCUGCAAGAUCAUAUGCUAUUCGAGCUCGUGAAGAGGCGUCCUCUCCUGAUGUAAUUGCGGGUACAUUUUCUCUCUAUGAUACUACUGUUAUUGCAUUAAUUGAUCCUGGCUCUACACAUUCAUAUAUAUGCACAAAAUUAGCAUUUGUUAAAAAUUUGUCUGUUGAACCUACUGAAUUUAUGGUUAAAGUCUCGAACCCCCUGGGCCAGUUUGUGAUAGUGGAUAAAGUUUGUAAAAAUUGUCCACUGAUGGUAAAAGGUAUUUGUUUCCCGGUUGACUUAAUGUUAUUGCCUUUUGAUGAGUUUGAUGUGAUAUUGGGCAUGGAUUGGUUAACUCAGCAUGAUGCAGUAGUAAACUGUAGACAAAAAUAUGUUGUGUUGAAAUGCCAGAAUGGAGAAUUACUUUGGAUUAAAUCUAAUCAGACAAAGGGAUUAUCCGAUAUGAUUUCAGUUAUGACAGCUCAGAGGUGUGUUAGAAAAGGGUAUGAUGUUUAUUUGGCGUAUGUGUUGGAUACUAAGGUAUCUGAGUCAAAGAUACAGGCAGUGCCAGUUGUAUGUGAAUUUUCUGAUGUAUUUCCAGAGGAGUUACCAGGGUUGCCACCAGAAAGAGAAGUGGAAUUUUCUAUAGAUCUGAUUCCGGGAACUGCCCCAAUUUCCAUAGCUCCGUAUCGUAUGGCUCCUACAGAAUUAAAAGAGUUAAAGGCACAGUUACAGGAACUUGUUGACAGAGGUUUUGUUCGUCCGAGUCAUUCACCUUGGGGUGCUCCAGUUCUGUUGGUGAAAAAGAAAGACGGGUCUUUGAGAUUGUGUAUUGACUAUCGGCAGCUUAAUAAGGUAACUAUAAAGAAUAAGUACCCAUUGCCUCAAAUUGAUGACUUAUUUGAUCAACUGAAAGGUGCCACAGUAUUUUCAAAGAUUGAUCUCCGAUCGGGUUAUUAUCAGUUACGGGUAAAAGAGCCAGAUGUGCCAAAGACAGCUUUCAGAACCAGGUAUGGGCAUUAUGAGUUUCUGGUUAUGCCGUUUGGGUUGACUAAUGCACCUGCAAUAUUCAUGGAUUUGAUGAACCGGAUAUUCAGACCGUAUCUAGAUAGGUUUGUAGUAGUUUUUAUUGAUGACAUUUUAGUUUAUUCUCGGGAUGAAACUGAGCAUGCAGAACAUUUGAAAAUAGUGUUGCAAAUUCUGCGUGAAAAGAAACUUUAUGCUAAAUUCAGUAAUUGUGAAUUUUGGCUUCGAGAGGUAGGUUUUCUCGGACAUAUUGUAUCCGCAGAAGGCAUCAGGGUAGAUCCGAGUAAAAUUUCAGCUAUUGUCAAUUGGAGUCCACCGAAGAAUGUAUCUGAAGUUAGAAGUUUCUUGGGUUUAGCUGGUUAUUAUCGGAGAUUUGUACAAGGGUUUUCUAUGAUAGCUUCUCCAAUGACCCGUUUAUUACAGAAAGAUGUUAAAUUUGAAUGGACAGAAAAAUGCCAGCAAAGUUUCGACCGAUUGAAGGAGUUGUUAACGAAAGCACCUGUGUUGGUACAGCCUGAAUCGGGUAAGGAAUUUAUUAUUUAUAGUGAUGCAUCAUUAAAUGGUUUGGGUUGUGUCUUGAUGCAAGAAGAUAAAGUAAUAGCCUAUAUUUCAAGACAACUUAAGCCACAUGAAAGAAACUGCCCGGUACAUGAUCUCGAGUUAGCUGCUAUUGUAUUUGCAUUGAAAAUAUGGCGGCAUUAUUUGUAUGGUGAAAAAUGUCAUAUUUAUACUGAUCACAAAAGCUUGAAAUAUUUAUGACACAGAAAGAUUUGAAUUUAAGACAACGCAGGUGGCUUGAAUUGAUAAAGGAUUAUGAUUUGGUUAUUGAUUACGAUCCGGGUAAGGCUAACGUGGUAGCUGAUGCUUUGAGCCGAAAAUCUCUAUUUGCUUUACGAGCUAUGAAUACCCGGUUGUCACUGUCUAAUGAUGGUUCAAUCAUAGCUGAAUUGAGAGCUAAAUCGACAUUUCGUCAACAAAUAUGUAAAGCUCAGAGGAAUGAUGAGAAAUUACAGGCUAAACGGGUGUAUUGUGAGUCAGGUAAUGAUUCAGAAUUUCAGAUUGGAACUGAUGGUUGUUUAUUAUUCAGAGGCAGAGUAUGUGUACCGAAGAAUUCAGAACUUGUACAGAAGAUUUUACACGAAGCACACAGUGGUAUUAUGUCCGUACAUCCGGGAGGUAAUAAAAUGUAUAAUGACUUGAAAAAAAUGUAUUGGUGGCCGAGUAUGAAACGUGAUAUCUCUGAGUUUGUAUCAAGAUGUUUAGUAUGUCAGCAGGUUAAGGCUGAACAUCAGGUACCUUCGGGGUUGCUUCAGCCAAUCACUAUACCGGAAUGGAAAUGGGAAAGAAUCACUAUGGAUUUUGUAUCUGGGUUACCGUUAUCUCCGAGGAAGAAAGAUGCCAUUUGGGUAAUUGUCGACCGAUUGACAAAGUCCGCGCACUUUAUCCCAGUAUGUAUGGAUUAUUCUUUAGAUAAAUUGGCUGGAUUGUAUAUAUCUGAGAUUGUUAGACUACAUGGAGUGCCUGUCUCCAUUAUAUCAGACAGAGAUCCCCGAUUUAAAUCUCGUUUCUGGAACAAAUUGCAAGAAGCUUUGGGUACUCAGUUGUAUUUCAGUACUGCAUUUCAUCCUCAGACAGAUGGCCAAUUUGAGCGUGUAAUUCAGGUAUUGGAAGAUAUGCUCCGAUGUUGUGCAUUAGAGUUUCAAGGUAAUUGGGAAAGGUAUCUACCUUUGAUUGAAUUUGCUUAUAAUAACAGUUAUCAGUCCAGUAUUAAAAUGGCUCCGUAUGAAGCUUUGUAUGGUAGAAAAUGUAGAACACCAUUAUAUUGGACAGAGCUUAGUGAAAAGAAGAUACACGGGGUUGAUUUGAUUCGGGAAACAGAAGAAAAAGUAAUACUGAUUCGGGAUAGUUUAAAAGCAGCUUCCGAUCGUCAAAAGUCAUACGCCGAUCUUAAACGAAGGGAGAUUGAAUUUCAGGUGGGUGAUAAAGUAUUCUUAAAAGUGUCUCCUUGGAAGAAAGUUCUCCGGUUCGGUCGAAAGGGUAAAUUGAGUCCAAGAUUUAUCGGACCAUAUGAGAUUAUAGAAAGAAUUGGACCAGUUGCUUACCGAUUGGCUUUACCACCGGAACUCGACAAAAUUCAUAAUGUAUUUCAUGUAUCUAUGCUACGACGGUAUCGAUCAGAUCCUUCACAUGUUAUUACUCCAACAGAAGUAGAAAUUCAGCCGGAUAUGACUUAUAAUGAAGAACCGGUUAAAGUAUUAGCACGAGAAACAAAGGAGCUUAGAAACAAAAAGGUAAAUCUGGUGAAAGUGCUAUGGCAAAAGCACGGGAUUGAGGAAGCAAUAUGGGAACUGGAAGAGACAAUGAGGAAGCAAUACCCGAAUCUCUUUACUGGUAAGAUUUUUGAGGACGAAAAUCCAAAAAAGGGGGGGAGAGUUGUAAUGGCCCAAAUUUGAGGUUAUCGGAACAGUGGUUUCGGAACCACAAAUCCGAUGAGAAAAAAUUUUAUUUUUAUUAUAUUUUUAUGGUCUACAAUUUCACAAAAUGAUUUUUUGAAAAUUUCGUUCGAAAAUUUCGACGUUUGGGCACUCAAUUUAGUCAAAAGGACUAAAUUGUAAAAAGAGCAAAAGUUGAGUUCUACAUGCUAGAGGUGUCCAAUUGUUAUGAAACUUUAAAUUGGAGGUCCUUAUAUGGUAAUUAUACCAUUGGUAACUUGGUAGACAAAAAUGGACAUGAGAUAAGUGAAAUAGAAAAUUUUUAAGUUAGGGGCAAUUUGGUAAUCUAGUAAUUAAAAUGAAUUAAAAGGGAAAAAGAUGGCAAAAAUCAUCAUCUUCUUCAUAUGAACGAAAUCAGCAAGGGGGGAAGCCAUAGUUAGGGUUUUCAAGCUUCCAAGCUCCAUAAUCAAGAAGUACGAAACUCGAGGUUAGACAAAGGGAAGAAUAAAGUUGAAGACUAAGUUGGUGAAUUUGGCUAUAAUUGGUACCGAGGUAAGUUUACGGUAAAUAAAUGCAAUAUUUCAAUAUUUAUUAUUAAUACUGUUAAUUUCCAGCAAUUAUGAAUUUAUUUUAUGAAUUUAUUUGAUGAUGAUCCAAGCAUGAAAUGAUAGAGAAUUAAAAUUUAAAAGUCCCGUUGAUACAUAAGGAUGGUACUGGAUACGAAUGUCAUGACAUUUGGGUAAAGAGAUCCCAUGUAAGACCAUGUCUGGGACAUGGCAUUGGCAUCCUUAAGAUCAUGAGAGAUCCCCUGUAAGACCAUGUCUGGGACAUGGCAUGGGCACCGAGACGAGAGGUCCCAUGUAAGACCAUGUCUGGGACAUGGCGUUGGCACCGAGAUGAGAGGUCCCCUAUAAGACCAUGUCUGGGACAUGGCAUGGGCACCAUCACGAGAACAUCCCAUGUAAGACCAUGUCUGGGACAUGGCUUUGGCAUGUUAUUAUCAGAAGAGACCCGAGUAUCCUUAUUAUUCCAAUGUAGCUCAACGGGCUUGUAAACGAAUCAUGUUCAUGAAAGUUCAGUUUAAAGCAUAAAUGGCAAGCUCAGGUAAGUCGUAAGACUUAAGAACUUAUUAUACUAUCAAUUGAUGUUCAACGAUGCAGCAAGGAUUGAGUAAGUUAUGCACACAAGUAUUCUAAGUAAUCAAGUAAGAGAACUAGUAUGAGAUUAACUAAAGAGUAAACUAGAGAUAUAGACAUUGAGUUUAAUUAUUUAAGUUAAAUAUUGUUAUUUAUUUGCUAGUAAACUUACUAAGCUUUAUGCUUACUUCUUUUAUUUCUCUUUCUCUUAUAGUAUUGCAAAGCUACUUCAAGGAUCCUAAAGAAGUCGGAGAUCGUCUACACUAUCAACUACAACUGUUCGGUAUUUUAUAUCGAAACACGUUUAAGUUAUGGCAUGUAUAGGGAUUUAGUUAUUUUGUAUGUUUGUAGUGAUGAUUUUGCUAAUGAGUGAUGUGUAAGUAUUUGAUGAUGUAUGAUUAUUAAAAUGAUUAAGGAUGAAGGUGUUUGUUGUUAUGAA